UGAAAACUGGCCUGGUACACAGGAAGAAAAAAAGAUAAAAAGUCAACACACACUUUUCGAAACCCACUUCCUGUGUCCUCAUUCCUUGAAACACUUACAAAGAUGUUUCACGUAGUUCCCUCACCAGCUUCAACCCACAGAUUGUCAUAUUACCAAGAAAGCAGAAAGUGUUAAAGAAAAACCCACCAUCCUGAAGACUUUCUGGUGACAGAAAACUUAAAGAGCUUUAUGUCUGCUCGAGAGAAAGUUCUGAGACUUUUUACAACUCUGUGCUAAAUAAACAUCUCACAGAACAGACCGCUUUUAUUGAGCGAUUGUAUACACAUGACCGCCACAGCUGGAACUGCUGUCAAAGUGAAUAGAGAGAAUGGAGGCUUCUAUAGUGCCGCGGUAUCGACGGCCGAUAAAACACCGCUUCAGGAUCGGGCUCGGAGAAAGAGACUAGGAUCGCUCAGAGUACACGGAGAUUUCUGAGCCUUCCGGCUACAUUCAGAAUACCUGUCAGAUCCCAGACUGUAUUUUACAGUUUACCAUGAUGGCUCGGGCUGCUAUGCUAACAUCAGUUGUCGCUUGGCCUAUGGUAGCCCUCCAGUGACAUUCCGGCUGUUCCUGAAUGGGAAGCUUGUUGAUGUGCAGCAGGUGGAUUUACUGGAAGCUUGGUUUUCUCAGCCUGUCACAAUAGGACUGGAUAUAGGUUCAGUACAGUGCAUAGCAAAGAAUGACAUCCAGCAGCUUCUCAGUAACUCAGUAAAUCUAGAAGUCGCUCCAGUAACAGGGACUGCACAUGUCAAAGUGGAAUAUCUGCACAGAUUAGACUCUGUACAUGCAGCUGCCCUGCUCCAGUGUGUGAUCACUACAGGGACUUUUCCUGUCUUCCUAUGGUCCUUCAACAGCUCCACCAUUCCCCUGGAUUCCAAUUCACCUACUUUUAUCCAACGUGACCAGUUCCUAGUUCUCACACACAUCAACCCUGAGAACUUGGGGUAUUACAGCUGUAGAGUGAGGGACAGUUUCAACUCUAACUCAUCCUGGGUGGAGAGUGAGGAUGUUUUGGUGGAGAUGUCAGAUUCAACAACCCGCUUUAAAACAAGCACUGCUACAACAUAUGAACUUACUGAUCGUCUACACAGUCAUGAACAUAUCAACCCUGAGAAUCAUCACACUAAACCGGAGACUAGAAACCACCCAUAUGUUGAAGAGAUUGAAACAUUGUUCAUGGACACGGAAGUCUAGGCUAAGG